CUGACGGGCAUCACGGCAUUUUGUUUAUGUUUGAAAAGUUAUUAGUUAUUAGGUGCAUUAAGUUUACUGUUUUUAUCCUACAUAGCUUCUUAAGCAGCAAACAAGAAAUGACGAAGAAGAGAUGGGCCAACAUUGAACAAAGCAAAAUAGAGAAAUCAGUUGCUUCAUGGCUGGCACAGACACAAUUAAAAUCAAAGACUUAGAAAGGGGCAGGGUGUCAAAGAGCACCUGAAGAACAGGAAGAUGAGGAUCAUGAAGCCGCCGACGCUUGAAUGAUGUGUAAAUAAUGUAUUGUCAGAGUGUCUACGAACCAGGAAAUCCGGGAAUGAACUUAUUUUUUACUGAAAUGUACUGUAAAUGUACUGUACUGCAAUUGAAAAGAUAAUAAUUUAUUCUGUGCUGACUGGUAGAGAACUUAAAGUUUGUCCAUGAAUAUUUUAUUUUUAUAUCCAUGCAUCCAUUUCUACUUUUUUA